GAUGAAGAUCUAGCUAGGUUGAGGUUAACCGGCCAAUUGCGCAAGAGAUAUCUUGUUAUGCAAUUAUGAUGGCGGAAAUUGUAUCGAGUGAUGUAAUAAGUGUAUUGUGUUGUGAGGUUGUGAGUGGAUAUGUUUAUUGUGUGAAUCAUAAGUAUUAGUGUGGUGUGGGGCGAACAUGUUAAUGCUGACCCGUUGCGGAUGACCAUGCGACACAGUAUGUGAAAUGCUUUCCAAUGAUGGUUCAAGGUCCAGAAGUGAUAUACUUUGGAUGAAUAUGGAGUGAAGCAGACAGGAGGCAGCCAAACCACUCCACAACACUGCUGGGGAUCCCCCAAGGACUGUGGGCCAAACCACAUAAGGCCCCUUAAAGGUGGUGGAAGGUCAUUCCAGCAGUGUGUGGCUGCAAAUCUGAAACUACCCCUGAAAGCUGCAGUUUUGUGAGGUGGGACCCUAAGCGGAGCAACUAUGGAGCGAAGACCAUUGCCGAAGACACGGGACAAGUCCCCCUCCGUGCGGAUCCUCUGCGCCUUAUCCCCCAGCGCCUUCCUGACGAGGAUGCGGCCCUGCUUGGUCCAGACAAACUUCCAGCCAAGAGCCCCGGCCGCUUCCCGUGCUUGACGAAAUAACAAGCGGUUAACUUUCGUCAGCCGCUCGUUAAAAAAGAACCGCUGCGCCGGCCCGGGCAUGCCAAGGUCCGUCGUAGUUGCGCCUCGUCGCACUCGCGCGCUCGCCAUAAGCUGGUCACGCAGGUCACGGCGAGCAAGGCGCACCACUAUCGGCCGCGGGCGUGAUACAGUUGGUCCCGCUGAGUUUGUUGCGUUGAGCUGCCUGCCACCUACACGCUCCGCACUGACGAUAUCACGAUCGUCUAGGCUGAUCCCUAACUUA
rnacentral:lncRNA from 1 species